rnacentral:rRNA from 1 species
GGGUUAAGUCCCGCAACGAGCGCAACCCCUAUCUUUAGUUGCCAUCAUUGAUUGGGCACUCUAAAGAGACUGCCGGUGUCAAACCGGAGGAAGGUGGGGAUGACGUCAAGUCCUCAUGGCCUUUAUGACCAGGGCUACACACGUACUACAAUGGCCGGUACAAAGGGCAGCGACACAGCGAUGUGAAGCCAAUCCCGAAAAGCCGGUCUCAGUCCGGAUUGGAGUCUGCAACUCGACUCCAUGAAGUUGGAAUCGCUAGUAAUCGCGGAUCAGCACGCCGCGGUGAAUACGUUCCCGGGCCUU